GACGAACGCUGGCGGCGUGCCUAAUACAUGCAAGUCGAGCGCUUCUUUUCUCCCGAGUGCUUGCACUCAAUUGGAAAGAGGAGUGGCGGACGGGUGAGUAACACGUGGGUAACCUACCCAUCAGAGGGGGAUAACACUUGGAAACAGGUGCUAAUACCGCAUAACAGUUUAUGCCGCAUGGCAUAAGAGUGAAAGGCGCUUUCGGGUGUCGCUGAUGGAUGGACCCGCGGUGCAUUAGCUAGUUGGUGAGGUAACGGCUCACCAAGGCCACGAUGCAUAGCCGACCUGAGAGGGUGAUCGGCCACACUGGGACUGAGACACGGCCCAGACUCCUACGGGAGGCAGCAGUAGGGAAUCUUCGGCAAUGGACGAAAGUCUGACCGAGCAACGCCGCGUGAGUGAAGAAGGUUUUCGGAUCGUAAAACUCUGUUGUUAGAGAAGAACAAGGACGUUAGUAACUGAACGUCCCCUGACGGUAUCUAACCAGAAAGCCACGGCUAACUACGUG
rnacentral:rRNA from 1 species